rnacentral:rRNA from 1 species
GUCCUUUUGAUAAUAAUUUAAGGUCUAAUCUGCUCAGUGAGGAGUUAAAUAGCCGCAGUAUUUUGACUGUGCAAAGGUAGCGUGAUAAUUAGUCUCUUAAUUAGGGACUUGUAUGAAUGAUUGGACAAGAAAAUUUCUGUCUCUUUUUAAUUUUUUGUGAAUUUUAUUUUUAAGUUAAAAUGCUUAAAUAUUUGUAAAAGACGAGAAGACCCCAUAGAGUUUUAUUUUCAUAAGUUUUUAGAAUAAUAAUUAAAAUUGAAAAAUUAGUUGGGGUGACUAAAAGAUUUAAUUAACUCUUUUAAUUUAAAUCAUUGAUUUAUGAAUAUAAAGUCUAAUUUUUUUAAAUUUAAAUUAAAUUACCUUGGGGAUAACAGCGUAAUUUCUUUUUAGAGUUCUUAUCAAAUAAGAAGAUUGCGACCUCGAUGUUGGAUUAAAAUUUAUUUUAGGUGUAGAAGCUUAAAAAUUAAGUCUGUUCGACUUUUAUAAUUUUACA